rfam:Oryza sativa Japonica Group DNA, chromosome 2, cultivar: Nipponbare, complete sequence.
AAAAAGACCAAACCCUGGAUUUCUGUAUCCAAUGUUUGACCGUCCGUUUUAUUUGUUUCAAAUAUAAAAAAUAUUAAAAAGAAAAGUCACGCAUAAAGUAUUAAUUAUGUUUCAUCGUCUAACAACAAUGAAAAUACUAAUUAUAAAAAAAUUUCAUAUAAAACAGACAGUCACACAUUAGACAUGAAAACCUAGGGUUUGUCUUUUU